AGUGAACGCUGGCGGUAGGCCUAACACAUGCAAGUCGAACGGCAGCACAGUAAGAGCUCGCUCUUACGGGUGGCGAGUGGCGGACGGGUGAGGAAUACAUCGGAAUCUACUUUUUCGCGGGGGAUAACGUAGGGAAACUUACGCUAAUACCGCAUACGACCUACGGGUGAAAGCAGGGGAUCUUCGGACCUUGCGCGAUUGAAUGAGCCGAUGUCGGAUUAGCUAGUUGGCGGGGUAAAGGCCCACCAAGGCGACGAUCCGUAGCUGGUCUGAGAGGAUGAUCAGCCACACUGGAACUGAGACACGGUCCAGACUCCUACGGGAGGCAGCAGUGGGGAAUAUUGGACAAAGGGCGCAAGCCUGAUCCAGCCAUACCGCGUGGGUGAAGAAGGCCUUCGGGUUGUAAAGCCCUUUUGUUGGGAAAGAAAAGCAGCAGGUUAAUACCCCGCUGUUCUGACGGUACCCAAAGAAUAAGCACCGGCUAACUUCGUG
rnacentral:rRNA from 1 species